rnacentral:rRNA from 1 species
GAGUUUGAUCAUGGCUCAGGACGAACGCUGGCGGCGUGCUUAACACAUGCAAGUCGAGGGGUCGCCCUUCGGGGCGGCACCGGCGAACGGGUGCGUAACACGUGAGCGACCUGCCCGUCUGCGGGGGAUAGCCGGCCCAACGGCCGGGUAAUACCGCAUACGCCGCCCCGGGGGCAUACCCGGGGCGGGGAAACUUCUGGGGCGGACGGAGGGGCUCGCGGCCUAUCAGCUCGUUGGCGGGGUAACGGCCCACCAAGGCGAUGACGGGUAGCUGGUCUGAGAGGAUGGCCAGCCACAUUGGGACUGAGAGACGGCCCAGACUCCUACGGGAGGCAGCAGUGGGGAAUCUUGCGCAAUGGCCGAAAGGCUGACGCAGCGACGCCGCGUGCGGGAUGACGGCC